GACGAACGCUGGCGGCGUGCUUAACACAUGCAAGUCGAACGGAAAGGCCCUGCUUUUGUGGGGUGCUCGAGUGGCGAACGGGUGAGUAACACGUGAGUAACCUGCCCUUGACUUUGGGAUAACUUCAGGAAACUGGGGCUAAUACCGGAUAGGAGCUCCUGCUGCAUGGUGGGGGUUGGAAAGUUUCGGCGGUUGGGGAUGGACUCGCGGCUUAUCAGCUUGUUGGUGGGGUAGUGGCUUACCAAGGCUUUGACGGGUAGCCGGCCUGAGAGGGUGACCGGCCACAUUGGGACUGAGAUACGGCCCAGACUCCUACGGGAGGCAGCAGUGGGGAAUAUUGCACAAUGGGCGGAAGCCUGAUGCAGCAACGCCGCGUGCGGGAUGACGGCCUUCGGGUUGUAAACCGCUUUCGCCUGUGACGAAGCGUGAGUGACGGUAAUGGGUAAAGAAGCACCGGCUAACUACGUGCCAGCAGCCGCGGUGAUACGUAGGGUGCGAGCGUUGUCCGGAUUUAUUGGGCGUAAAGAGCUCGUAGGUGGUUGAUCGCGUCGGAAGUGUAAUCUUGGGGCUUAACCCUGAGCGUGCUUUCGAUACGGGUUGACUUGAGGAAGGUAGGGGAGAAUGGAAUUCCUGGUGGAGCGGUGGAAUGCGCAGAUAUCAGGAGGAACACCAGUGGCGAAGGCGGUUCUCUGGGCCUUUCCUGACGCUGAGGAGCGAAAGCGUGGGGAGCGAACAGGCUUAGAUACCCUGGUAGUCCACGCUGUAAACGGUGGGUACUAGGUGUGGGGUCCAUUCCACGGGUUCCGUGCCGUAGCUAACGCUUUAAGUACCCCGCCUGGGGAGUACGGCCGCAAGGCUAAAACUCAAAGGAAUUGACGGGGCCCCGCACAAGCGGCGGAGCAUGCGGAUUAAUUCGAUGCAACGCGUAGAACCUUACCUGGGUUUGACAUGGAUCGGGAGUGCUCAGAGAUGGGUGUGCCUCUUUUGGGGUCGGUUCACAGGUGGUGCAUGGCUGUCGUCAGCUCGUGUCGUGAGAUGUUGGGUUAAGUCCCGCAACGAGCGCAACCCUUGUUCACUGUUGCCAGCACGUUAUGGUGGGGACUCAGUGGAGACCGCCGGGGUCAACUCGGAGGAAGGUGGGGAUGACGUCAAGUCAUCAUGCCCCUUAUGUCCAGGGCUUCACGCAUGCUACAAUGGCUGGUACAGAGAGUGGCGAGCCUGUGAGGGUGAGCGAAUCUCGGAAAGCCGGUCUCAGUUCGGAUUGGGGUCUGCAACUCGACCUCAUGAAGUCGGAGUCGCUAGUAAUCGCAGAUCAGCAACGCUGCGGUGAAUAAGUUCCCGGGGCU
rnacentral:rRNA from 1 species